UUGAGCAAAAAAGCAAUCCACAACAGUACAUCACAGUUUUUCAAAACCCAUCUUUUUCAAUUGUGGUUAAGUAGCCUAUAUAUUACAUAAGAAAUAGUAUUUAUCUGAAAUUGUGAAAUUAUUGAUAUUCAGAAAAGAGCACAUUUUUAACUCCGUGUGUGUAUAAUGUAUUGCAGAACAAAGAUUGAUUCGUUAUCACUCGAAUCUAACGUCAUUUCAAAAGCGUAAUUGCAGUCGAAGAAAAGAGAAAAUAAAACCAAAUUACUGAAGGUGGCGGUAUGUGCUCAUGUCUCCAGUCAGCCAUUAGAUCGAAGAAGAAGAAGAACGACGGCUCCAACCAACGUAGUUUGAACUAUGGAUCUGCGACACAGGUACGAUGGUUUCGGGAAACAGUCGUGACUAGGUCGUUCGUUUUUCAUAACGAUGCAUCGUACUAUGGUGGUUAAUCUGCGAGCUACGUCGUUGUACGGGAAACGCACCCUUGUUCAGCUUUUCUGCGUCUUGUGUUUGAAUGAUUUAAACUCUUUUGAAUGUUUAAAUUGAAAAGUGGAGAGGCUUAAAAACACAUGAAAAUGAUAAGCUUUCGUGACGACACGCAGCAGUGGCCUGAAAGAGUUUAAGAUGAUUCUGAUCAGAGAUCAGUGCUAAUGGAGAUCCCAGAACCAUAGGCCAAGAUCACAGUUGUAAAUCACGCGCAGAAUGCUUCAUGAGUGAGCUUUAUCCCUCACAGGACGUCUGAGGAGAUCCGACAUGGAUGUGUUGUCGCUGCGGGACACAUGAGGUGUGGACACGUUGGACGCAGGUUCAGGAAGACGCCGGAACCGGAAACAGUCUUCUACUCGCUGAACAGUCAGUUCAGAUGGCGUCCGUCUCGCUGACCUCUGACCUCAGGCUCUUACUGGAGGAUCUGCAUCAGAAGAAGACCAGCGUCUACAGAUCCAUCCCAUACUCUCCUCUGGCCUCCAGCAGAGACACACACUGCUACAGGAACACACACCUGAUGGCCUUCCCUCGUUACAGUAAUGAUAGGACACUGGUCAUACACUGCUGGGAAAACGUUUGAAAUCAUUCAAAUGUUUUAAUCAUUUUGAAAAGUUUUUCUGUAGAUAAAUACAAAGUUAAGAAGAACAGCAUUUAUUUGAAAUGGAAAUCUUUUGUAACCAUGUAAAUGCCUUUAAUAUCUCUUGUCGUCCUUGAAGAAUAAGUUUUUCCACUUACCCCAAAUUUAUGAAUGGUAGUGUAUGAUGGUUUCCACUGUGUUCAACACUGAUGAUAAUCAGAAAUGUUUCUUGAGCAGUAAAUCAUCAUAUUAUUCUGAUUUCUGAAGAUCAUGUGACACUGAAGA